rnacentral:rRNA from 1 species
GACGACGCUGGCGGCGUGCCUAACACAUGCAAGUCGAGCGGGGUUGAAGCAGGGGUAACUCAAGCUUCUACCUAGCGGCGGACGGGUGAGUAACGCGUGGGCAACCUGCCUCAAGGUCUGGGAUAACAGCUCGAAAGGGCUGCUAAUACCGGAUAUGCCUAUGGCCUCGCAUGGGGCUAUGAGCAAAGGGGAAACCUGCCUUGAGAUGGGCCCGCGUCCCAUCAGCUAGUUGGUGAGGUAACAGCUCACCAAGGCGACGACGGGUAGCCGGCCUGAGAGGGUGACCGGCCACACUGGGACUGAGACACGGCCCAGACUCCUACGGGGGGCAGCAGUGGGGGAUCUUGCACAAUGGGCGAAAGCCUGAUGCAGCGACGCCGCGUGAGCGAAGAAGGCCUUCGGGUUGUAAAGCUCUGUCUGGAGGGACGAAGGAAGUGACGGUACCUCCGGAGGAAGCCACGGCUAACUACGUG